rnacentral:rRNA from 1 species
AGUGAACGCUGGCGGUAGGCCUAACACAUGCAAGUCGAACGGCAGCACAGUAAGAGCUUGCUCUUACGGGUGGUGAGUGGCGGACGGGUGAGGAAUACAUCGGAAUCUACUUUUUCGUGGGGGAUAACGUAGGGAAACUUACGCUAAUACCGCAUACGACCUACGGGUGAAAGCAGGGGAUCUUCGGACCUUGCGCGAUUGAAUGAGCCGAUGUCGGAUUAGCUAGUUGGCGGGGUAAAGGCCCACCAAGGCGACGUUCCGUAGCUGGUCUGAGAGGAUGAUCAGCCACACUGGAACUGAGACACGGUCCAGACUCCUACGGGAGGCAGCAGUGGGGAAUAUUGGACAAUGGGCGCAAGCCUGAUCCAGCCAUACCGCGUGGGUGAAGAAGGCCUUCGGGUUGUAAAGCCCUUUUGUUGGGAAAGAAAAGCAGCAGGUUAAUACCCCGCUGUUCUGACGGUACCCAAAGAAUAAGCACCGGCUAACUUCGUG